rnacentral:rRNA from 1 species
AUACGUAGGGGGCGAGCGUUGUCCGGAAUGAUUGGGCGUAAAGGGCGCGUAGGCGGCGCGGUAAGUCUGGAGUGAAAGUCCUGCUUUCAAGGUGGGAAUUGCUUUGGAUACUGCCGCGCUUGAGUGCAGGAGAGGUUAUCGGAAUUCCCGGUGUAGCGGUGAAAUGCGUAGAGAUCGGGAGGAACACCAGUGGCGAAGGCGGGUAACUGGACUGCAACUGACGCUGAGGCGCGAAAGUGUGGGGAGCAAACAGGAUUAGAUACCCUGGUAGUCCACACUGUAAACGAUGAAUGCUAGGUGUUGGAGACGCAAGUCUUCGGUGCCGCAGUUAACGCAUUAAGUGCUCCGCCUGGGGAGUACGCACGCAAGUGUAAAACUCAAAUGAAUUGACGGGG